rnacentral:rRNA from 1 species
AUGAGACGGCCGCUCGGCGCAUGCGGCAGCAGAUCCAGCCCGGCCGCUGCUUUCCUCCUGGCCGCCGCCGCGAUCUGCGCCCAGUUCGCCACAGGACUAGCUGAUGAUGCAUCUAAAGACGAGUCAAAAGGUCACACUGGCCAAACAGUUUUGUUUGUCCUGCUAGGAAUUGGUGUAGCCGGUCUGUUGUCAUUCUUCCUUUUCAAGUAUUGGCAGAAGAAGAAAAGAGAGGAGCAACAUGCACGGCUGCUGAAGUUAUUUGAAGAGGAUGAUGACAUUGAGGUCGAGCUUGGCCUUAGAGAUUGA